AAGAAAUAUUGCUCAGACAAAAAACGACAAGAAAAUCUAUUUUGUGUUACUUUUAAUCUAGUUGGUGAGUAAAGAAGUCGGGUUUUGAUAUCCCCUGUUUUUUUAAUAAUUCAGCAAACUCGAAAAAAUUUCGUGUUCUAAAACCAUCAUACGUAUAAAUUGCAAAUACGUCAUUUUCACAAUAUAUGUAUUACUCGCCAUACCUAUUUAAAAAAAAUAUGUAUUUUUAUCUUCUGCAGUUAUUUUUAUCUUCGUUACAUAUUUAUUAAUAAUUUUCGAAUAAUUUUUAUGUGACGUUACAUAAAAAUCACCAAACACCAAAUUACGAUUACAAAAAAAUAUUUGCGAAUUUCACCCGUCUCGUAUUGUGUUUUUUACGUUUUUCUCGUUUUCAAUCGUCGCAAUGUUCAAAUGACGUUUGUCAGAUACUUAAUAAUAACAAGUAACAAAAUAUUACGUUAGUAAAUAUAAUCCAUUAAUCCGUCGGGAUUGCUAUCCCAUGAGUUUUACACAUAAACUAUACGAUAAGGUGUAUUAAAAUAUCGAAAAAAAAAUGUCUGUCGUUCGGAAUAAAAGGUAUUCGUAAGCUAGCGUACUAGCGUUUCGUAUAAUUUGUCGUUCGUGUAUACAUUGAUAAUAAUACUUGUAAAAAAUAGUCCCGCCAAAUCGAAUAAACCUUAAAAUUCGAUUAACGCCGUCGAGUCGAGUCAAAAUAUUAUCCUCCGUACAAAAGUCAAUUUAUUGGACUGUGAUCCCCCAGAGUAAACGAAUGAAAUAAAAUAAAAAAAAAAAAAAAACGAGAAUAACGAAAAUCGCUCGGCGUUACGAUAAUAUUGUUAUCGAAUUCACGUCGAGUUGAUUUCACAUGGAAUAACAUGCAUUAUACUAUAUAGAAUAUUAGAUCGCACGUGUUCCUCGGAGAAUUCGAGUAAGUAUUGUGUGUACACAUUAUACUGCACACUGUUAUUGGCAUCACUCACUGGAAUGAUAUUAUAUUUUCAGGGAGCCGCUUAAGAAGCAACAACACGUAUAUCAUUUUUUUACAACUUAACGCGAGAAUAAAAAAAACACGACGUAUUUCAAUUUCAUAAACUGAAUUAAAGUUUAAAUUCAUAAAGAAGUCUAUUGCCGGUCGUAUGUGGUAGUUAGAUGUAGAUUUCAAUGUUGUCUGCAAUUUUCCGGAUCUUUUUUUAUCGAAUAUUCGAUUAGUCCGUUGAUUUGUUACAAAAAAAAACACACCAAACUACGUAUGGUACAAUGUCACCGACUAAUUUGAACAAAAUAUUUAAUAUCAAUUUUCGAAAAGACACACAUUAUGUUGAAAAAUUUUAACUUUCUUCGGAAUUUUUUUU